AACAAUUAAUAUUUAUUCAGAAUAAUUAUUUUUCAAUUAGACCAAUCACAUUUGUUCAACAUUAAUUUGCCUGCAGAUGUCAACAUGUCUGACGUACAGGGCAAGUCCACAUGUCUACCGUACAGGGCAAAUAAUCUUAUCUUCGGUAUGCCAGCUCAACAUGGCAUUCACUUGAGAUAUAUUCAUCCUCCAUACCACCUUUAUAAAAUAAAUACAAGUAUUGAUGAACAGCUAUUGCAAGGGUUUGUCACCAUUACCAUUUACAACCUGGUGAACAAGCUUGUCGGGUAACCUCCUUGUUUUCUGAAAGAUGGGCACAAAGUCACAACACAAAGAAGCAAAUGGAAAGUUCACAGUAUAAUUGGAACUGGAAAAUAUAAAAGAACAUAAAAGCUCUAGAAUUAUUUAAUUUCUAGUACUGCUAUUAAAAAUGAUGUCGAGAUCAAAGUGACAGGGCAUUGCUUCACUUUUUUUGUCGACCCAAUUAUAUUUAUUUCUCGCUCCUAGCGAAAAACAUCGGAUCUUCUGAUACAACGUUUUCUUGGUUUUAUGGUUUAAAACACGUGUGGUGUUGGGAUAGCUACAAACUCAAGGCAAACCAUUGGCUAAGCCCUUUUUUCUUUAUGAGAAAGAGAGUGGUUUAUUGAUUACCUAGGAACAAGAUUACAAUCAUUUUAAGAAACUAUUCCAAACAUCCACAGGUGUAAGUAUUUCUUUGAUGCUUAGGACAUAUUAAGUAGACGUAGAAAGGAAAUGAUUGUGACCUGCAAUCAAUCACUAAGACUAGACAGUAUGAAAUUAACGCCUACCUUUUGUAGUGCCAUAAAGGCCACGCCCUAUUAAAUUUUUAAAUAGCAAUAUUACAUUAGCAGACCCUAAUUAGAUUAAUUUAACGAGGGGGAUGAGGGGUGGAUUAUGCUAUAAACGCAUACAUUUGUGGAUAGAGGGGACAUCAGAGAUGACUUUCUCAUUGAGGUAUGAAUGUGCACUUUUAUAUGUAGAAUGUACACAUUUAAGAUUUCAUAUCUCAAAAAUGAGUGAAAGUUUGACAUGAGCCUUAAAAAAAAUUCUGGAAUGCGCACAAGAGUUGCGCAUCUUUGUAUUAAUUUAAGAGAAGAAAAGGGGAAAGAACCCCAUUACAACACAAACACCACACAGUCACACACAAUAGUAAAAAAAAGAAUCUAAUUUUCAAAUGGCAACAAUAAAAUUAUUUUCCCUACAUUUAUUUGUAUCAAGUUUCAAUACCAACUAUUCGAAUUGAAUAAACCUUUAAUGCACAGUUAUACAUUUAGAUUAUUGUUAGACUCUGUGUGUGUGGGCUGGCACCACUGUUGGGUUGUCGGCCCAUUAGGGUUAGGGUUUCCUGUGUCUCUAUAUAUUGUAGUCCACCUCUAUGCAAUACAAUCCACUUUACACUUCUACACCCGCGGCCAGGAUAGCGGCAGCAGCGCAGAGCAGGACCGGCGAAGAGGGGGAGGGAGCCCAUGGCGAGCACGGCGGCGGGCGAGGGUCACCGCCUCGGGGAGAUCGCGGCGAGCGAGGGGCACCUGCUGCUGCUGAAGCUGUGGCAGCGGGAGGAGGACCGCCUGGGCCGCCGCGCGUGCGCGCUGGAGGCGCACAUGGACGCGGCGCGUCGGGACGCCUUCUACCUCUGCGCGGCCUUCCUCGCCUUUCACGGCCUUUCCCUCGCGCUCCUCUUCGCCGCGUCCGUGGUCGCCGCGGCCACCACCUCCCCUUCUGCCGCGUGCAGGAGGUGGUGGGCGUCGUCGUCCCUGUCCCUGGCAGCGUCCCUCGCGCUCGCCGCGGCCGUGCAGCUCCUGGUGGGCGCCUACUGGCGCGCCGCGGCGCGGCUGUGCCGGGACCGCGGUGAUGCGCGCGCACUCGCGCGGGCCGUGCAGGAGCUGCGCUUGAAGGGCGCCGCGUUUGACCUGUCCAAGGAGCCGCGUCCCCUCAACGUCGGCCUUCCCCCUGCUCUUCCCAGCCCUUGGCCAGGGAGCGCCCAGGUCCGGCGACCUCCCAACUCCAUGGGCGCAGGGACCUCCUUCCUCCUCCAUCCAGCUCCCCCUCCUUUCUCCCAGCCGCUGGACCUCCCCUCCCCGCGGUCGCCCCUUUCCUGCAGCCCGGCGUCAUGGCCGCCCCUCCCCUCAUGCCGGCCAGCCCCUCCUCUUCCCUGGCUGCACGCAUGCCGCCUCACUGGCCGUGGGCGCCCCCCUUCCCCGGCCUCCCAAGCAGCGCCACUGGAUCCGUGCCCCCCUGUGUCUGCGUCGCUUGAUUCGUGAGCCUGCGGGCGCGCGCCGACGUUCUCUCCCUAGUGUCGAUCACCUCGACCAGCAGCACCUUGUAGCACCACCCUUCGAACUUCUCCCGUCACGGUGCCGUCAACACCCCUUGCCAGGUCCGGCGCAGGCCCCUGCUCGGCUGGACCCGCCCCGUCGCCCUCCCCCUUCAUCGCCGCCUUCGUUGGUUCACCCUAACUGUCGGCGUUUCGAGACCGGGGGGUCCCUAAUCCGACGAGUGAGUGUGCCGCGUGCCCCAGCCCAGAUGGGUCGAGCGCGUGGGCGAGCGCGAAGGGGGGAAGGCGAGGUGGCCGGAGACGGGCGUGAGAGAGGUGGAAAUCCCGCGGCCUUCGUGUUCGUCCCGCGCCCAGGUCGGGUGCGCUUGCAGUAGGGGGUUACAAGCGUCCACGCGGGUGAGGGAAGCGAGCGGCCCCAGGAGAGCGCCUGUCCCGUCCUCGUUCCCGCGCGGCCAACCCUCUCUAAGAAGGCCCUGGUCCUUCCUUUUAUAGUCGUAAGGAGAGGAUCCAGGUGUACGAUGGGGGUGUAGCAGAGUGCUACGUGUCUAGCGGAGGGAGAGCUAGCGCCCUAAGUACAUGCCAAUGUGGCAGCCGGAGAGAUCUUGGCACCCUGCUGGUGUGAUGUCGUGACUGUCGGAGGAGCAACGGAGCUUGGCGGAGGGACAGCUGUCGGAGCGGUCGAGUCCUUGCUGACGUCCCCCUGCUUCCGUAAGGGAGCUGAGAGCCGCCAUCGUCACAGGGCACGCGGGGCACCAUCAUUGCCUAUCUGGUGGAGCUAGCCAGAUGGGACACCGGUCUUGUUCUCUGCGGCCCGAGUCGGCUUGGGGUAGGGUGAUGAUGGCGCUCCCUGUUGACGUGGCGGGCCCGCGCCCGAGGCCGGGCGACGUGGGGGCUCCUCCGAAGCUGGGGUCGAGUCUGUCUUCCGUUGCCGAGGCCGAGCCCGAGCCCCUGGGUCGGGCGAGGCGGAGGUCGUUCGGUAGAGGCCAGGGCGGAGUCCGAGCCCUGGGUCGGACGGAGCGGAGUUCGCCGUCUUCCGGGUCUUAGCCCGAGUCCGAGCCCUGGGUCGGACGGAGCGGAGUUCGCCGUCUUCCGGGUCUUAGCCCGAGUCCGAGCCCUGGGUCGGACGGAGCGGAGUUCGCCGUCUUCCGGGUCUUAGCCCGAGUCCGAGCCCUGGGUCGGGCGGAGCGGAGUUCGCCGUCUUCCGGGUCUUAGCCCGAGUCCGAGCCCUGGGUCGGGCGGAGCGGAGUUCGCCGUCUUCCGGGUCUUAGCCCGAGUCCGAGCCCUGGGUCGGGCGGAGCGGAGAUCGCCGUGUUCCGGGGCUUAGCCCGAGUCCGAGCCCUGGGUCGGGCGGAGCGGAGAUCGCCGUCUUCCGGGGCUUAGCCCGAGUCCGAGCCCUGGGUCGGGCGAAGCGGAGAUCGCCGUCUUCCGGGGCUUAGCCUGAGUCCGAGCCCUGGGUCGGGCGGAGCGGAGUUUCCUAUGGCGCCUUUGGCAGGGCCUGACUGCCUGUCAGUCUCACUCUGUCAAGUGGCACUGCAGUCGGAGUGGCGCAGGCGGCGCUGUCCUUCUGUCAGACCGGUCAGUGGAGCGGUGAAGUGACGGCGGUCACUUCGGCUCUGCCGGGGGGCGCGCGUCAGGAUAAAGGUGUCAGGCCACCUUUGCGUUAAAUGCUCCUGCGACUUGGUCGGUCGGUGCGGCGAUUUAGUCAGGAUUGCUUCUUAGCGAAGGCAAGGCCUCGGGCGAGCCGGGGAUGUGUCCGCCGUUAAAGGGGGGCCUCGGGCGAGACGGAGAUCCCUAGGGGUCGGCUGCCCUUGCCCGAGGCUAGGCUCGGGCGAGGCGUGAUCGAGUCGCUCGUACGGACUGAUCCCUGACUUAAUCGCACCCAUCAGGCCUCUGCAGCUUUAUGCUGAUGGGGGUUACCAGCUGAGAAUUAGGCGUCUUGGGGGUACCCCUAAUUAUGGUCCCCGACAGUAGCCCCCGAGCCUCGAAGGGAGUGUUAACACUCGCUUGGAGGCUUUCGUCGCACUUUUUUGCAAGGGGACCAGCCUUUCUCGGUUGCAUUUUGUUCCGGUGGGUGCGCGCGAGCGCACCCGCCGGGUGUAGCCCCCGAGGCCUCGGAGGAGUGGUUUCACUCCUUCGAGGUCUUAAUGCCUUGCGUAAUGCUUCGGCGGGUCUGGUUGUUCCCUCAUGCGAACUGGCCGUAGCCCGGGUGCACGGUCGGGGCCCAAGCUCUCGGGCUGGUAUGUUGACGUUGUCAACGGUUCGGCCGGAGCCGGGUUUGCGAGAGCAGCCCCCGAGCCUCCGCACAGGGCGAGAGGGCGAUCAGGGACAGACUCGGCUUUUUUACAUACGCCCCUACGUCGCCUUUCCGCAAGGAGGAGGGGGGAGUGCGCCAUGUUACCCUCGAUGGGCACCGAACAUGGUGUCUCCGGUGAGCUGCAAGCGGGUAAUCCGAGUGGACGUCCGUGCCCCGUUCGUUGGGGGUCGGAUAGGGGCCCAGAGGCACGCCCAAAAAUACCUGCGGGUGAUCUGCCGGACCCGGUCCCCUGGCGACGGGGUCCGAGGGCUCGAUGCCUCCCUCCGAUGGGAUUCCGUUACAAGAUCGCUCCCGCUGUUCUCGGAAAUGUCCUAGGGUACCUCGGGAGCGCAGCCCGAGCCUUGGUUAUGUAUCGAACGUACCCCUGGUCAUCCCUCGCUCGGCAUCUGGGGCGACUGUGAACCCUUCGGGGGCCAGCCUUCGAACCCCUGAUCAGUAAUGGGCGCGGAGCCCGAGUAGCCUGAGGCGGCCGUGGAGCCCUUCGGGGGGCCGGCCUUCGAACCUCUGACCAGUAGUGGGUGUAGGGCCCACGCGAUCUGAGGCGACUGUUGAACCCCUCGGAGGGCCAGCCUUCGAACCUCUGAUCAGUAGGGGGGCUCGGAGCCCGGUUCCUUCACAGGGAAGGAUCCUUUUCGGGGUAUCCCCCUUUCUCGGUCCCUGUUGCAAGAGAUAGAGAAAGAGGAAAAAAGGAAAAGGAUACGAAAUCGAACGACGUGGCGUACCUUUUUUGGCGCGGUUAUUGCGGCGAAGGCGAAGCGUCGCCCGCUUCUCCUGCCAGAAGCGCCGCCUGUCCCGCCGCGGAGUUAAUGCGACGGGGCGAUUGGUUGGCGGGGCGGCCGUUGCGCGUGCGCGAGCCGUUCGAGGGACGGAUCACGGGCACGCCGUCUUCACGCCGUGAGAGGGGGCUCUCUUGCUGCCCCUGGAUGGGACGUGAGCCUGGCUGACGACGUGACCGCUGCUCCCGCCCGCCCGCCACCGUCAUUACUGCUGGCCCACUUUCGGCCGCAUUGACCGUCGCGCCAGGCUGGCGCUGCUGGGUCGUGCGCUGGGCCGCCUCGAGUCGCGGUAUUGGUUCCACAACCGAAGAGGCGCGGUGGUGGCGCAAGUGGCGGUGCAGUUACCUGCAUGCAGCAUCCGGCGCGCCGGUUGCGUGACGCGUGGGCCUGGGCCUCCAUGCUGGCGCGUUGGGAGUCGGAGAAGCGCGUCCACCUGGCGCGGUUGCAUGCCGCCUGCAUGGCCGCCUGCCCCUUCCGCCCGUUGGUCUGGGCCAAAGUGGGGGGUCGCUUGUAACCGCUGGGCGGUUGUGUGCACCACGCGCGGCGCUUUGGCUUCUUCUGCUCUGAGCCGGUUUGCAUGACAUGCGGGACCCAGCCCCCGCGCCGCAGGGGAGGGCCUUGGAGCGUGUUGGAGAAGACUCAGCCCGUGACGUUUGAGGGCGCACGUAGGGAGGGUUGCCUUUAAAAGGAGGGUGACCCCUUUCGGAAGGCGACCAUGUCUUCUUCCUCCCUUAUGCGUCGUGUCUUUCCAUCUUCCAAGCCCCCGGAUGGGGGGUACCCGCCGUCUUUCCGCCUCAUCGUUGGAGGAACGCAACUCCGUGGGAGUUGGUACCUUUCAGCCAUCGUUCGGCUUCAAGGAUUUUCAUCACGCAGCCCGGCUGCACCCCUCCACCGGCGGUCACCCAACAUGGUGACCUUCGGCUUGAUGGUGGGGGAAAGCGAGCCGGGCUGCGGCCCCUCCCCCUCCCUCAGCCUCAAGGAUUUUUAUCACCAAGGCUGGGGAGGGGAGUGCGUCGAGUUGGGGUCGGCCCCUGCGUGGGCGGUGGUCCGCUCCUUCACUCAGUGAUGGGGGGAGGAGCGGGUGUCGUCCGUGGCGCUGGCAGCUGCAGCGUGCCCGGCUUUCGGGCGCAAGUGGCUUCGGAGCCGCUCGCGGCGCCGGCGUCUGCCACGGCAGCUGGAAGAGGUUCUUCCGCCGGCGUGAUAGCCAGGGCCGGCCACGGACUGACCUCCAACUCUACGGCCUUCUGCCUGUCCUGCCUCACGAGUUUUGGCAUGGGCGGGGGCCUCCUGGCAGCAGCAUCCACCCUGAGGUCAGCGUUGCCGCUGUUCGGCCCCCCGGAGCAGAAGUCGUCGUCGUCGCCGCUGCUGGAGCAGGUGACGGCGCGCCGUUCGUCGGUCUUCUGUUGCUCCGCAGGCCCGCCCCCAUGGAGUGGGGUUGUUCGUACCUGCGGAGGGGGAACCGGAGUUCCGUUUGUAAGGGCACUUUGAAUGCAGUGUUUUUGUUCAUUGUGGCUGUCGAGGCCUGAACAUGUAUGUAAUUUCGGCACGGAGCCGUGUUUUUUCCUCAUUUUCGAGCACUAAGUCUCGCCUGUUGAUUAUCUGAACCGCUUCACCAAGCAUGAGUCGCCCCGUGUCAAGGUGACGAGUGAGGUAUCCGUAUCCCGGAGGCGUAGGAGUCCCUCGGUUCGAUCGGCCUUGUUGUCUGAGGCUCCUCUAGCUUAGUUAAAGAGACCCUUUGGCCGCUCUUCGAUGAGCCGAGGCCAGGGGUAGCGAUAUCAGUACGAACAGAGGCGGAGUUGGCUCGAAAGUGAGAACCUGGUUGGCCGGAGCCUAGCCGGGUUGUCCGUCAGCGGGACCGACGCCGAAGUUGACCAGCCGAGGCCUCGGGUCGGGCUGGCGCCCUUGGAGGAUGGUUGGCCGAGGCCUCAGGGGUGACCGGCCGAGCCGCCUGCUCGGGCCGGAUUCCCGGAGGAGUCCCCGGACCGCGUCGCCGUCCGAGGCUGGGUCGGACCUCACUGAAGGUGUCGUCGAUGUCGAGGGUGCUAGCCCCCUUCCAGCGUGAAGACCCGAGCCUGCAGGAUCAGAUUGUCUUGUAGUGUGUGCCUUCUGCGGCCGCUGAGGCCAGAGAACACACCCUCGCUGCGUUGUAAAGCUGUGUCUCCUUUCCUCUUAUUUCGAGCAUCUGGACUUUUUGUCGGUAACAGGGAUGUUUGUGCGAGCGAGAGUUGCUUCUCGCGGAAGGUGAUGAGCGAGGUAUCCGUAUCCCGGAGGCGUGGGAGUCCCUCGGCUCGAUCGGCCUUGCCGCUUACGCGUACUUUCACCCGUCCAUGAAGCCCUGUCACCGAUUCAGUCGAGAAGGCUUGAAGGACCGCUUCGGCAGAAGAGCUUCCGAACGUAAAGACUUGUUCGGUCCGCGGAGUCACUUUAUCCGAACGCGAGUUACUUAUCGCAGAAGGUGAUGAGUGAGGUAUCCGUAUCCCGGAGGCGUAGGAGUCCCUCGGCUCGAUCAGCCUUGGCUGCUUACUUGUACUCCGUCGUUUCCAGGAUCCGCUUUUCGAAGUAGUCAAAAAGCACGAAAGAUAUUCUGCUAAAAGGGAUCUUUUUUCGAGAAAAUUUCGACGCAGAGGGGGUCCCCCCCUUUUAGCCCCCGAGGGAGGGUCGGGCUUUGCCGAGGCGAGGCCGACCCUUCCUUGAUGACUAAACUUUGCGUGGGUGCGAGGUAUAUGAACAACUUGAAAACAUCUUAAGGGUAGAAGCGACGUAGCUGUUUGAUGUUCCAAGCGUUGCCGUAGACCUCGUCUUGAUUGUUGGCCAGCUUGUAUGUUCCGGGCUUCAGAACUUUGGCGAUGACGAAUGGCUGAAAGGGAAAUGUGCCCUUGGGCCAUUUCUAAGUAUUUUGGUGAUUGAGUGUCAACACAAGUGCUUAAAUGUGAAUCAAUGCCCAUGGAUGAACAAAGUGCAAAUCUAGAGCAAAGGUAUGUUUCUAAGUCUUAGUACAUUGGUUUUAUGUACUAAUAUACUUGUCUAAGUAUUAGAAACAGGAAGAAGAAGAGAAGAAGAAAGUUGGCUGUGUACAGCCAAGAGGCUGUUUCGGUCUGGGGCACCGGACUGUCCGGUGGUGCACCGGACAGUGUCCGGUGCACCAGGCUGCCUCGGCCGAAGAGACCGCUCUCAGGAAUUUGCUGACGGCGUACGGCUAAAAUUCACCGGACUGUCCGGUGUGCACCGGACUGUCCGGUGAGCCAACGGUCGGCCAGGGCCAACGGUCGGCCGCGCGAUCAGCGCAGGACACGUGGCCGAGCCAACGGUCGGAAGGGGGCACCGGACUGUCCGGUGCGCCAACGGCUCCCGCAUCUGCAACGGUCGGCUUCGCCAAUUAAGGAAAGGAAUCGGGCACCGGACACUGUCCGGUGUGCACCGGACUGUCCGGUGCGCCCGACGACAGAAGGCAAAGAUGGCCUUCCAGAUUUGUUCUCAACGGCUCCUAGCUGCCUUGGGGCUAUAAAAGGGACCCCUAGGCGCAUGGAGGGAUACACCAAGCACACCAAGCAACUCUUGAGCAUUCUUGAUCAUCCACACUAAGUCUUUGCGCAUUCGUUUGUGAUUCUAAGUGAUUCGAGCUCCGUUCUUGUGAGAAACUGUGAGAUAGUCUUUGAGCUCGAAUCUUGGCCGUGUGUGUGCGCAUUUCGCUGUGGAUUUGUGUGUGUUGCUUCCCUCCCUUACUCCGUGCUUCUUUGUGAAUCUUAAGUGUAAGGGCGAGAGACUCCAAUCUGUGGAGAUUCCUCGCAAGUGGGAUAAAGAUAAGCAAGGCAAAAUACCGUGGUAUUCAAGUGGGUCUUUGGACCGCUUGAGAGGGGUUGAUUGCAACCCUCGUCCGUUGGGACGCCACAACGUGGAGUAGGCAAGUUUUGUACUUGGCCGAACCACGGGAUAAAUCACCGUGUCUACUUUGUGUUGAAUUCUCUGUGAUUGUCGUAUUGUGCAAGAUCUCCUCUUUAGCCACUUGGCAAUUAUUGUGCUAACCCCUAACAAGUUUUUGUGGCUAUAAGUUAAGUUUUUACAGGAUCACCUAUUCACCCCCCCUCUAGGUGCUCUCAAUUGGUAUCAGAGCCGUUUCUCUUCACAAAGGGACUUACCGCCCGAAGAGAUGGAUCCUAAGGGGAAGGGAAUAGUGAUCAACGACAAGGAAAAGGAGUUCUUCGUCAACGACCCAAAAGAUGACAAAUCCAACGACUCCGGCUCGGGGCAUAGACGGAAGGAAGGGAAGAAGAAGAAGACAAGGCGCAUCAAGGAGAUCAUCUACUACGACGAUAGUGAUGAGUCUACCUCUUCCCAAAAGGAUGAUGACAACGACUACAAAAAGACGGUCAAUUCGAACUUUUCAUUUGAUUAUUCUCGUAUUCAACAUAGUUCGAAUUCGCAUUUGCUUUCCAUUCCUCUUGGCAAACCUCCACACUUCGAUGGGGAGGACUACGGAUUUUGGAGUCACAAAAUGCGUAGUCACUUAUUCUCUCUCCAUCCAAGCAUAUGGGAGAUUGUGGAGAAUGGAAUGAAAUUUGAUAGCUCGGAUAGCCCUAUGCUUAUAAAUGAACAAAUUCAUAGAAAUGCACAAGCUACUACUGUUCUCUUAGCGUCUUUGUGCAGGGAAGAGUACAAUAAGGUGAGCGGCUUGGACAAUGUCAAGCAGAUAUGUGACACCCUCAAGAUCUCUCACGAGGGGAACGACAUCACCAUGCUCACCAAGAUGGAAUUGGUGGAGGGCGAGCUUGGACGAUUCGCCAUGAUAAGGGGAGAGGAGCCAACUCAAACUUACAACCGGCUCAAGACCCUUAUCAACAAAAUAAGGAGCUACGGAAGCACGCGUUGGACGGAUCACGACGUCGUCCGCCUAAUGCUCAGGUCCUUUACCGUUCUUGAUCCUCAUCUCGUGAACAAUAUUCAUGAGAAUCCCAGGUACACGAUGAUGACGCCCGAGGAAGUACUUGGAAAAUUCGUGAGCGGGCGGAUGAUGAUCAAGGAGGCAAGAUACGUCGACGACGCGUUGAACGGUCCACUCCACGAGCCUCAACCCAUUGCUCUAAAGGCAACGAGGAGCAAGGAGUCGCUACCUAGCAAGGUGGCGCAAGUUGAGGCGGCCGGGCUCAAUGAUGAAGAGAUGGCUCUCAUCAUCAAGAGAUUCAAGACGGCGCUAAAAGGUCGAAAGGGACAGCCAAGCAAGGCCAAGACCAAGGGAAAGCGAUCAUGCUUCAAAUGCGGUAAGCUUGGUCAUUUUAUUGCUAACUGUCCCGAAAAUGAUAGUGACCAGGAGCAAGGGAAAAAUGGGAAGAGAGAGAACAAGAAGGUUUACAAGAAGGCCAAAGGCGAAGCACACCUUGGAAAGGAAUGGGAUUCGGAUUGCUCUUCGUCCGACUCCAACGACGAAGGACUCGCCGCCACUGCCUUCAACAAAUCGGCUCUUUUCCCAAACGAGCGUCACACAUGCCUUAUGGCAAGGGAGAAGAAGGUGAGUACUCAAGACUCCACUUAUGCUUCUUCUAGUGAUAAUGAGUCUAGUGAUGAUGAUGACAUAGACUAUUCAUGCUUAUUCAAGGGCUUAGAUAGAUCUAAAAUAGAUAAGAUUAAUGAGUUGAUUGAUGCUUUGAAUGACAAGAAUAGAUUACUAGAAAAACAAGAAGAUCUUUUAUAUGAAAAGCAUGAUAAAUUUGUUAGUGCACAAAAUUCUCUUGCUCUAGAAAUUAAAAGGAAUGAAAUACUCUCUGGUGAAUUAUCUACUUGUCAUAAAACCAUCUCUACUUUAGAAAGUGUCAACAAUGAUUUAAAUGCUAAAUUAGAAGUAGCAAAUAAAUCUAAUUCUUGUGUAAAACAUGUUGUAAUUUGUACUAGGUGUAAAGAUAUUGACAUUGAUGCUUGUAGUAAACACCUAGUUUCAAUUUCCAAGCUUAAUGAUGAAUUGGCUAGUAUUAAUGCUCAACUUAAGACUAGCAAGAAUGAGUUCGAUAAGCUAAAAUUUGCAAUGGAUGCCUACACGAUUGGUAGACACCCCUCUGUGACUAACCUUGGAUUAGGCGAG
rnacentral:lncRNA from 1 species